UACGUAGGUGGCGAGCGUUGUCCGGAUUUACUGGGCGUAAGGGGAGCGUAGGCGGACUUUUAAGUGAGAUGUGAAAUACUCGGGCUCAACUUGAGUGCUGCAUUUCAAACUGGAAGUCUAGAGUGCAGGAGAGGAGAAUGGAAUUCCUAGUGUAGCGGUGAAAUGCGUAGAGAUUAGGAAGAACACCAGUGGCGAAGGCGAUUCUCUGGACUGUAACUGACGCUGAGGCUCGAAAGCGUGGGGAGCAAACAGG
rnacentral:rRNA from 1 species